AUGUGGCAGGCAGACAGCCCCGUUCCUUCCUCGUCCAGGGGAGGAGAGAAGACUCAUUCAAACUGCCCAGGCAGCACCCGAGCCCGAGCAGGGCGCUCGCUGUGGGCACAGACCCGCGGCCAGCCCGGCUGCAGAGCGGCACAGCCGGCCUGGCAGAGCCGACCCCCGUCGCGAUGCGCGCCAGGCCCCGUGCGCCGCUUCACCCACCCUACCAUUCCCGCCUGCCUCGGGCCGCACUCGCGGCUCCUCACACCGCUUCCCUCCCGGGGGCCGCCCUCACCGGGAUGCGCCGAGCGCCGCGGUCCGCCUGUCCCCCGCACACGGGCGGCCGGGCCUUGCGAGGGGCGGGUGCGAGGAGGUGGCGGGGGCGGCCGCCCCAAGCCCGCUCCGAAGCGGCGGCCGGGAGGGGCCGGAGCUCCUACCCGCGCCGUGACCGAGGCUCAGGCCCCACAGCGCUGCGACCACCUCCUCCUCCUCCUCCACCGUCUGCCCGGCCUCCGGCGCGGCCCGGGCGACGGCCCUCACUCUGCCGCGCCGGCGCUGCCCGGCGGCGUGGCCGGCACUCACCCGCUGGCGGCCCUUGAAGCCCCGCGCUGCUCAGCGCCGCGCUGCCGCCAUGUUGGAGCUGGUGCGGCACGGACUGCGUCAGUGGCGGACAAGGCGGGAGCGGCGAGCCGGGGGCGGCGCGCCGGGGGCGGGCGGGGGAGCGCGGCGGCGGGAGCGGCGUUCCCCGGCCCGGGCACGGUGCGAGGGGUCGCGAGCAGCGACACAGCCCAGGCCAGCGGCGCGGGCCGCUCGCGAGGAGCCCAAGCGGCUGGGGGAGGGGCUCCCGCCUCCUCGGGCGCGUCAGCGGCGCUCCGCCCCUGCCGCCGGGCCAGGCCCGAGCGGGCGCGGCGCGGGAAGGAGCCGGAGGGGCUGGAGCGCGGCAGGUACACGGGCCCUUCCCAGCCCAACGUGCUCGAGAACCGUGCUUGUCUUCGCCGCCGAUGGGCCCGCGAAAUGGCCUAG
ensembl:lncRNA